CUUCAAACUGGUUGGGAAAGUACCUACAGCAUCAUCAUGCAGUGUGACAGAACAUUCACACUGUGGUUGAGAAAGCCCCUGAACCAUCUUUAAGGGGAGUGGCUGAACAUUCACCUUGUGGUUGAGAAAACCCCAGCAUCCUGAUGGGCUGUGGCUGGACCUUCACACUGUGAUCAGGAAAGCAUGUCUAGGAUCAUCAUGAGAUGUGGCUGAACAUUCACAUUGUGUUUAGGAAAGCACCUUUACCAUCUACCUGGGCUGUAGCUGAACAUUCAUACUGUGGGAAACGCCUUCAAGAAUAUUCUUAGGUUAUUCCUAAAUCUUCACACUGGUUGAGAAACCACCUCCAGCACCUUCAUAAAAUAUGAGUGAACUUUCACAUUGUGGCUGAAAAAUGUCUUCUGGCAUCUUCCUAGUGUGUACUGAACAUUCACACUGUGGUUGGGAAACCCUCCAGCAGCAUUAUGGGCUCUGGCUGACCUUUAUACUGUGGUUGGAAAACCACCUCCAGGAUCUUCAUGGGAUGUGCCUGAACCUUCACAGAGUAGUUGGGGAAGCAUCUCAAGCACCAUCAUGGGAGGUGUUGCUGGACCUUUACACUGGUUUGGAAAGUGCCUCUAAGAUUUUCAAAGUUAUGGCUGGACAUCCACAUUGUGAUUGGGAAGCCCCCUCCAGAGUAUUCUUGGAGUGUUUCUAAACCUUCACAUUGGUUUGGAAACCACCUCCAGCAUCUUCAUGGGUUGUGUCUAGACCUUUGUGCUGUGGUUGGCAAACAACCUCCAGCAUCUUCAUAGGGUGUGGCUGGACCUUCACAAUGUGGUUGAGAAACUGCCUCCAGUAUCAUCAUGGAGUGUGGCUGAACAUUCAUGUGGCUGGGAAACCACCUCCAGAAUCUUUAUGGGAUAUGACUGAACCUUCACAUUGUGAUCGGGAAAGUACCUCCAGCAGCAUCAUUGGGUGAUGUUUAACAUUCACAUUGUGGUUAGGAAGCCACCUCCAGCAUCAUUAUGGAGUGUGACUGAACCUUCACAGUGUUGUUGAAAAAAUAACCUCCAUCAUCUUCAAGGGGAGUGGCUGACCAUUCAUUUUGUGGCUGGGAAACCACCUUGAGCAUUUUCAUGGGCCUAAACAUUCACACUGUGGUUGGGAAACCACCUCCAGGAUCUUCAUGGGCUGUGGCUGGACCUUCAUUCUGUGUUUUAAAAGCACCUUCAGAAACAUCACAGGGUGUGUUUGAACAUUUAAAUUGUAGUUAUGAAACCACCUUUAGCAUCUGUAUGGGCUGUAGCUGAACAUUCACACUGUGGUUGGAAAUCUGUUUCCACCAUCUUCAUGGGAUGUAGCUGAACAUCAUCACAUUGUAGUAGGGAAACCUCCAACAUCUUCAGUGGGUGUGGCUGAACUUUAACACUGUGGUUCAGAAAUCACCUCCAGGAUCAACAUGUGUGGCUAAACAUCUCAUUGUGGUUGGGAAACUGCAUCAAACAUCUGCAUGGAUGUGAGUGCACAUCCCUUCUGUGGUUGUCAACCACCUCCACCAUCUUCAUGAGGCUGACUAUAUCUUUACGUAGUGGUUGGGGAAGUGUGCCCACCAUCUUCAAGGGGUGUGGCUGAAUCUUAAAACCAUAGUUGGAAAAUCACCUCCAGUGUCCUCAAGGCAGUAGAUGAACAUUCUCACUGUGGCUAGGAAACCACUUCCAGAAUCUUCAUGGAGUGUGGCUAAACUUUCACACUGUGGUAGCAAAACUCCCUCCAGCAUCUUCAAGGAAUGUAACUGAACACCCAUUCUAUGGUUGGGAAACCACCUCCAGCAUCUUCAUGGGAUGUAGCUGAAUAUCACAUUGUGGUGGGGAAACGGCCUUUGGCAUCUACAUGGGAUGUGACUGGAUACCCAUCCUGUACUUGGGAAGCCACCUCCAGCAUCCAUGGGGUGUGGCUGGACACCACCCUGCAGUGAGGAAACAUUUCCAGUAUCUUUCUUCAUGUGCUGGACACUGUUCUGUAAUCCACUGAUUGGGAAAUCAACUUCAGCAUCUUCACUGAGGUGUGGAUGGCACCCACCCUGUGGUUUGAAAACCAAGUCCAGCAUCUUCCUGGGGUCUGGCUAGAAACCCACCCUCUUCCAGGUAGACCACCUCCACAUCCUCUUGUGGUGUGUGGUGUGGGUGAGUUUAUCCCCUGGUCUUCUCAUCUGGGUGUAUAUAUAGUUUGGCAGGUUUUCCUCUCUCCUGGGUUGUGGUACAGAUAGUUAACUGAGCUGUGGGACAUGCUCUGUCUCAGGAUGGUUGAUGUUCCACAAACUUAGGCCCCAGGUUAGCACACAGCUCUUUUGGACACAGAAGAUGAGAUACCAUUGAGUCUUGCAGAGGGACCCCUGGUAGAGAGGGCCUCGUCUCAAGAGAUAUCAUUUGUCAUUCCCAUUUACACUGCAUCCAAAUGUCAGGACAAGACAUGGGGCUGAUAUGUGGUGGUCAGAGGCUGAAAGUUGAGGGUUUAAUGACUUAGGUUGAUGUCCUCUCUGCAGUGUGUGUGUGGGUCUAUCCUGUGGGCGUCUGCUAGGCUUUUGAUAUCAUGUUUCUGGACUCUAAACUCUCACAACUGUGUCUGGGUUUUCCUUUGUGUUGCUGCAGCCAGUGCUUCCCAUCUUGAUUUGGGUCAGUCCUCAUCCCAGUGGCAUCUUGGACAGUGCAUCUAGCCCUUUAUCAAAAAUAUCUUUCCUCAUUUCUUACAUCCUUAUAGGGCAGUGAUGGUGAAUGUUUUAGAGGUUUCAGUGAUAUAAACAGCCCACUGUGGCAUGCAUGCCCACAGUGGUUCACCACCACUGUUGGGGGUCAGUUUUUUUUAUCCCACAGCUGAAGUCUAAGCUUGUCAACCCUGCUUUGGAGAGGCAACACAUGGCAUCGAAUUUCUACUGCCGAAUGAAUGAAUGAAGACAAAGGAAGGGAACAGGAUGACUGGAAAUGGAGGGUCUGGGUGUGUAAGGGGCCGAGGUAGAGAAACAAGUCAAUGGAGGCCUCGAUAACAAGCUUCCCCAUCUGGCCAGGAGCUGCUCUACCUAGCAGCCCCUUCCCUUCACUGCCACUGCAGUGCUGUGUCCCAUCAGGGCUGGCAAUGAUGAUGUCAGCAUUAAUGUUGACAGUGAUGGCAAUAAUAGUGACGGUGCUGAUGGUAAUGGACAGCCAUGGUUGGAGAUGGGGGUGCAGAGGGAAGGGUAGGUUGUGCAUAGUAGGAAAAAACUGUUUCUCCCACAGUGUUCUCAAUACUCAACGCGCAGAACGCUCCUGACUCAGAUGUGCCUCAUCAGUUCUCCAGCAUCAGCUGGGUGCUCUGCAGCCCUGUUCUGUUUUGAGUCUAACCCGAGUCAGUGCAGGCUCCACAGGGAUUGCAUUCUCGGUACAGAAGGCCAAGGUGUGUCCCAUGUGUGCCUUUCCUGUUGUUCCGUGGACAGGGAUGUGUGGUCGCUAUCACUGUG
rnacentral:lncRNA from 1 species